rnacentral:rRNA from 1 species
ACACGUAGGUAAUCUACCUUCGGGUGGGGAAUAACCCCGGGAAACCGGGGCUAAUACCGCAUAAUGCAGCGGCACCUAAUGGUGACAGUUGUUAAAGCGGGGGAUCGCAAGAUCUCGCGCCUGAAGAGGAGCCUGCGGCGGAUUAGCUAGUUGGCAGGGUAAUGGCCUACCAAGGCGACGAUCCGUAACCGGCCUGAGAGGGCGGUCGGUCACACUGACACUGACAUACGGGUCAGACUCCUACGGGAGGCAGCAGUCGGGAAUUUUGGGCAAUGGGCGAAAGCCUGACCCAGCAACGCCACGUGAAGGAUGAAAUCCCUCGGGAUGUAAACUUCGCAAGAACGGGAAGAAUAAGUUUGUGCUAACACCACAAGCGAUGACGGUACUGUUUGUAAGCUCCGGCUAACUCCGUGUCAGCAGCCGCGGUAAUACGGGGGGAGCAAGCGUUGUUCGGAUUUACUGGGCGUAAAGGGCGCGUAGGCGGCCUCCGCAAGUCACUUGUGAAAUCUCCGGGCUUAACUCGGAAAGGUCAACUGAUACUGCGGGGCUAGAGUGCGGAAGGGGCAACUGGAAUUCUUGGUGUAGCGGUGAAAUGCGUAGAUAUCAAGAGGAACACCUGCGGCGAAGGCGGGUUGCUGGGCCGACACUGACGCUGAGGCGCGAAAGCUAGGGGGGCGAACGGGAUUAGAUACCCCGGUAGUCCUAGCCUUAAACGAUGAAUGCUUGGUGUCUGGGGUUAUAUAGUCCCCGGGUGCCGUCGCUAACGCUUUAAGCAUUCCGCCUGGGGAGUACGGUCGCAAGACUGAAACUCAAAGGAAUUGACGGGGGCCCGCACAAGCGGUGGAGCAUGUGGUUUAAUUCGAUGCAACGCGAAGAACCUUACCUGGUCUUGACAUCCACGGAAGUUUUCAGAGAUGAGAAUGUGCCUUCGGGAACCGUGAGACAGGUGCUGCAUGGCUGUCGUCAGCUCGUGUUGUGAAAUGUUGGGUUAAGUCCCGCAACGAGCGCAACCCUUAUCCUUUGUUGCCAGCGGUCCGGCCGGGAACUCAAAGGAGACUGCCAGUGAUAAACUGGAGGAAGGUGGGGAUGACGUCAAGUCAUCAUGGCCCUUACGACCAGGGCUACACACGUGCUACAAUGGCGCAUACAAAGAGAAGCGACCUCGCGAGAGCAAGCGGACCUCAUAAAGUGCGUCGUAGUCCGGAUUGGAGUCUGCAACUCGACUCCAUGAAGUCGGAAUCGCUAGUAAUCGUGGAUCAGAAUGCCACGGUGAUACGUUCCCGGGCAUGCACACACUG